AGAUCCACCUGCCCCUACCUCCCUAGUGCUGGCGUUAAAGGUGUCCACCACCACUGUUCAGCUGACCUAAAGUGUUUCUUAGGUGAAACCCGCUAGGCCGCCAUGCUUGACAACCCGUUGGGAGAAGGCCUAGGAAGCUGGGCUGAGUAUCUGGGCAGGAGUGUGCCUCUACUAGGUAGCUGGGAUGCUAAAGCCGGGGCUGCCUGUGAUGUGGCCUGUUCCCUCCUGUUUCCAACCUGCCUUGGCAGCUGUGCAUGUUCAGCUCUUUGAUUUAUAGGCAGAGAGGCCACAUUUGGCAAAGCUGGAGUGUGAAAGUCAAGCUGAACCUGCCUAAUUGUGCCUGCGAAGGCAAUUCAGAGAAGCUGCUCUUGGAAGGGAAUCAGGACAAUUAGCUCUGAGCUGUGUGGAGAAGGGACAAGAGAGCUCACCAUGGUGAAUGUCAGCCUGUCCCUGGGGGAAGCAAAGGGCAGCAUUGAGUGAGAGUGAAGAGGUGACUCUAAUUUGUGUCAAAUCACAAUACAAAACAAAAGCACACAGCCCUUUUUGCAUCUGAGGAGACAGAGCUCCAAGGGAGAUUCCCCAAAUAGAAGCCCCCCACCCCGACCCCUGCCAGCCACUUCUGUGUCCAGCUGUCCACGGGAUGUGAAGCCAGGCCAUGUUCAGCUUUUUCAGCCAGCGCAGAGGAACAGCUGCCCCCCAUCACCGAUGGCACAGGGAGGAAGUCUCCUCAGCAUGCUUUAUGGUGUUGAGCAUCAUUGCUGAUGCCAUCCUCUGCUGGGUGGACCAGAAUGGUGAUGGAUGAAGAACAGAAGAGCCAAGGCCUGCUGGAGCAAUUGGGAGAGACCCUUCUCCAGGGAGACUGGAUGCUGCCUCCAAAAUCUCAAGAGCUCUUCUGGAAAAGGAGGCUCUGGAAGAUUCUUUUGCCCCAAGUGUGGCAAGAGGGGCUGAAGCAGACGGAGCUCUCUGAGAUCACAGCCCACCUCUCACCGCCCACCUUCAAGAAGCUCAUAGAUCCAUCUUAAAAGCCUUUCCAAUAAAGCCUUGGAGACAA
rnacentral:lncRNA from 1 species